rnacentral:rRNA from 1 species
UCUUUACAUUAAUUUAAGAAUUUAAGUUAAUCAUGUGUAUAAUUCUUUUUAUUUUUAAAAAUGUUUUGCUGGGGCGGCAUAAAUAGAAAAUAAUCUGUUUAAAAAAAAUUACAAAAUAUAAUUGAGUUAAUUAUUGAGUGAUCCUUGAUAUAGAUUGCAAGAUUAAGUU